rnacentral:rRNA from 1 species
GUAGUCCACGCCCUAAACGAUGUCAACUGGUUGUCGGGACUUAAUUGUUUUGGUAACGAAGCUAACGCGUGAAGUUGACCGCCUGGGGAGUACGGUCGCAAGAUUAAAACUCAAAGGAAUUGACGGGGACCCGCACAAGCGGUGGAUGAUGUGGAUUAAUUCGAUGCAACGCGAAAAACCUUACCUGCCCUUGACAUGGUCCGGAUCCUGCAGAGAUGCGGGAGUGCCCGUAAGGGAACGGAUACACAGGUGCUGCAUGGCUGUCGUCAGCUCGUGUCGUGAGAUGUUGGGUUAAGUCCCGCAACGAGCGCAACCCUUGUCAUUAAUUGCCAGCAUGUCAUGAUGGGCACUUUAAUGAGACUGCCGGUGACAAACCGGA